rnacentral:snoRNA from 1 species
CCCAGCUGUAGGUAACUGCCUAAGUUGCCUUGUACCCAAACAAGUGUUACACUGCUGGGAGAAAAGCAGCCAGUAGCUGGUGGGCAUUCUGGGCCUGGUACAUGCCAAAUUUGGGUUAACCAUACCAGUGUGCCAGCAUA